rnacentral:rRNA from 1 species
GCGGUGGAGCAUGUGGUUUAAUUCGACGCAACGACGUAAAACCUUACCUUGGGUUUGACAUGCCGAGGAUCCUGAUGAAAGUCGGGAGUGCCCCGUAAGGGGAACUUGGACACAGGUGCUGCAUGGCUGUCGUCAGCUCGUGCCGUGAGGUGUUGGGUUAAGUCCCGCAACGAGCGCAACCCUCAUCCUUAGUUGCCAUCAUUAAGUUGGGCACCCUAAGGAAACUGCCGCAGUUAAUGCGGAGGAAGGUGGGAUGACGUCAAGUCCUCAUGGCCCUUAUAUCCAGGGCUACACACGUGCUACAAUGAGCGGCACAAAGGGUCGCGAACCCGCGAGGGGGAGCUAAUCCCACAAAUCCGCUCCUAAUUCGGAUUGGAGUCUGCAACCCGACUCCAUGAAGCUGGAAUCGCUAGUAAUUGCAGAUCAGCAUGCUGCAGUGAAUACGUUCCCGGGCCUU